CUUAGUAUCCCUAAUCACCAGGGAAAUGUGUGUCAAAACCACAGCGAGCUAUUUUUUCAUUCCAUUUUGAAUGACAUCACCAACUGUACUCCGUUGCUGAGAAUUUAACUUAACCCAGCAACUAUGAAACAGUAUGGAGGUCCCUGAACAAAAAGGAAUAGACCACGACAUGAUUCUGCUGUGCAAGGGAAGUAAAAUUGUUCUGCUGAAGAGACAGUUGCACCCUGGUGUUUACUGCAGCACUGGGCACAUAAGCUACGUGGGAGAAACAGCGGAGAUGUCUGCUGGCACGCGGAUGAAGAAGCACUGAUGUGCACACACUCACCGCGGACUGUGGGCGGGUCCCGACAGGAACACAGACUUGCCAUUUUCAACCACACGGGGAGAACUAAGCGUCACCAUGUUAAGUGAAAUACAUCGUGCGCAGAAGCUGCUCAUCCUCUAACUGACCUGUGGGACCUGAAAGUGCCAACCUCACCGCAGGGGGUUGUUCCUGUCAGGUGAGCCAGGACGGAGGCCUGAGAAGUGAGCAUCUGAGACAAAGAGAUGAACCAGGAGAGAACUCUAGCUGUCCUCACAAGACAGAAUGUGGUAGAAGAAAGUAUCAGAGGUGUCUAGGCUCCUGCCAUGGGAGCUGCUCCACAUGCUUCAAAGACUGUCUCUUUGACAAGGCAACUCAAAGCCAGCUUCAUCAUCAAAGGUCCUGC
rnacentral:lncRNA from 1 species